GGGAAAUGUUGAGGACAUGUUAGGAAUGGCAUGCUGCGGUCCAAGGGACUGGACAGAGAUUGGGCAUCACUUGCCUAGAAAUGAGGACUGAAGCCUUAGCAACGGGGGUGACAGCCCUGGGAGAGAGCCAGCAGCGAGAGCUGCCGCAGCAUGCGAUAUGGUAAAUACAAAUGCUGCUUGCUCACACAUCCGUCAGCCACCACGAAGACAACAGCAGUUAGAAAGGUUUUGGGUAGAGACUGAAAAGAAAAAUAAAGGAAGCUUUGUGUGUGGCUUGUCCUUGACGGAGGCACCACUAUGAAGAGCUUGACAUGAGCCUUUGAGCCAAGAUGGGAGCAGAAGGGUCAGCCUUCCGUCCCUGCGGGGGCAGCACUGGCCACCCGCCGUGGGCAGAAUUUGGUGAUGAACACGGAAGGACCUUGAAUUAGGACCAGAACAUGGCCACAUCCUUGGAAGUUCACAGUCCAGGAGGGGCACAACACACAACCACAAAUGAUGGCAGGGAAACCUCCAGAGACAGACGCACAAGCUACGUGAGUCGCAUCAGAGAGCUCUGACAUCUGGGGAGUUUCCCGUGGGAUGGCCUUGAUGCUGGAAAGGGACCUGGGCGCACAGAGACGGGACGUUCUCCAGGGGGACACCUGAGCAGAGGCACGAAGCUGUCCCUGGGGGGGUCCCUGGGAGGAGCUCUGUUUGAAUCAGAGGAGGUGCAAAGAGAAGGUGGAAAUGUCAUCAGGGACACGGACAAGACAGCGUCCAGGGGCCAAGACUUAGAGCAGUGAAGGGCUAGGAUGUCCCAGAGAAAACUGGAAAACGUGGGUUGACAGGGAAAGAGCCUGCACAGUGGGGAUGCGUGCCCCCAGGUCUGGAGCCAGGAUGGGGAGAGCGGGACGCAGGCCACCGUCUCCAGGGAGGAUGGUCAUCAAAUGUGUCUCCAGCUCUGCCCGUCUGGUGCCCACUGACACCCCCGGGCCUCCACGCGGUCUGUGUCCUGGAGACUCUGACUGCUCCUCAGAGUCCCCCCAGGGGAUGGGUCCCGAGGAUGGGCCCCGGGACGGAGGACCACGCCUUCCCCUUGUGUCUCUACACCCGCCCUCUCCUCUGCUUGCCUGACCCCCACACAUGUACUGCCUGGGAAGCUCGGAAAACCAGCUAGUGCCAAGGUGCUCUUUUUUCCUUCCAAAAAGUUAACUUUUUUCCCCCAAAGGAACUUUAAGACUGAAACCGUGUGUUUCAGACAGCGCCUGACUCGGCCACUUCCCAGAAAACACAGACCAAAGAAAAACACAGCCCGGAGGGAGAAGCAGGAUGGUGUGCCCCCCACGGCUGGCAUCCGGGAGCCGUGCCAGCCGAGCAGCAGGACGAUGGAAGCAGGUUGAGACCCCGCCCGCAGCCCGGCCAGCCCGGUUUGGCGAUCCAGAACCCAGCAGGCCCGGUGGGGCAGGAGGUCCUCCUUCCCUGCCCCUCCCUGAUCUCUGCCCUCCCCAGAGCUCCUCAUCACCUAGGAAAACCGGUAGUCUGUCCUUCUCCAGCUCAGUCCCCGCCUGGGAAGAGCCGACCCACUGGAAAAGACCCUGAUGCUGGGAAAGACUGAAGGCCAAAGAAGGGGGCGGCAGAGGAUGAGAUGGCUGGAUGGCAUCACUAACUCAAUGGAGAUGAACUUGGGCAAACUCCAGGAGAUAGUGAGGGACAGGGAAGUCCGUGGCGUCACAGAGUCGGACACGACUUAGCAACCGAACAACCAGCACAGAUUGAUAACUGAUAUAGAAUCAAAUCGUCAGCAAAGUCAACCUGUUCUGAAACCCAGGGGGACACAGCUGAUAUCUGUCCUCCCGCAUCCCAACCUCCAGGCCAGGAGAACUGCAGUCUUCUCGCCAACCCUACCAUCACUCAGGGCCCCCUGGCCCUCACCUAGUUGCUGAAAAAGGUUUGCCUCCUCUGAUCUGGCCCCGUUCCAAUCAGGGCUGCACUGUGCCCAACAGGGUCCUUUAAAGGCCAGUCAGAAGACCCCCUGGACGUCUCCCCACCAUCCUACAGUCAGAAGACCCCCUGGAAGUCUCCCCACCGUCCUAGGUUACAGUCAGAAGACCCCCUGGACGUCUCCCCACCGUCCUAUAGUCAGAAGACCCUCUGGAUGUCUCCCCACAGUCCUAGGUCACAGCUGGGUAAAGGCCAGUCAGAACACCCCUCUGGAUGUCUCCCCACAGUCCUAUAGUCAGAAGACCCCCUGGACGUCUCCCCACCAUCCUAGGUUACAGUCAGAAGACCGCCUGGACGUCUCCACAGGGUCCUACAGUUAGAAGACCCCCUGGACGUCUCCCCAGGGUCCCUACAGUCAGAAGACCCCCUGGACGUCUCCCCACCGUCCUACAGUCAGAAGACCCCCUGGACGUCUCCCGACAGUCCUAGGUUACAGUCAGAAGACUGCCUGGAUGUCUCCCCAGGGCCCCUACAGUCAGAAGACCCCCUGGACGUCUCCCCACCGUCCUACAGUCAGAAGACCCCCUGGACGUCUCCCGACAGUCCUAGGUUACAGUCAGAAGACCCCCUGGGCGUCUCCCCACCAUCCUAGGUUACAGUCAGAAGACCCCCUGGAUGUCUCCCCACCGUCCUAUAGUCAGAAGACCCCCUGGAUGUCUCCCCACCAUCCUACAGUCAGAAGACCCCCUGGACGUCUCCCCACCAUCCUAGGUUACAGUCAGAAGACCCCCUGGACGUCUCCCCAGGGCCCCUACAGUCAGAAGACCCCCUGGACGUCUCCCCACCGUCCUACAGUCAGAAGACCCCCUGGACGUCUCCCGACAGUCCUAGGUUACAGUCAGAAGACCCCCUGGGCGUCUCCCCACCAUCCUAGGUUACAGUCAGAAGACCCCCUGGAUGUCUCCCCACCGUCCUAUAGUCAGAAGACCCCCUGGAUGUCUCCCCACCGUCCUACAGUCAGAAGACCCCCUGGACGUCUCCCCACCAUCCUAGGUUACAGUCAGAAGACCCCCUGGAUGUCUCCCCACCGUCCUACAGUCAGAAGACCCUCUGGAUGUCUCCCCACUGUCCUAGGUCACAGCUGGGUAAAGGCCAGUCAGAAGACCCCCUGGAUGUCUCCCCACAGUCCUACAGUCAGAAGACCCCCUGGCCGUCUCCCCACAGUCCUACAGUCAGAAGACCCCCUGGACGUCUCCCCAGGGUCCCUACAGUCAGAACACCCCCUGGACGUCUCCCCAGGGUCCCUACAGAGGCCAGUCAGAAGACCCCCUGGACGUUUCCCCACAGUCCUACAGUCAGAAGACCCCCUGGACGUUUCCCCACUGUCCUACAGUCAGAAGACCCCCUGGACGUCUCCCCACAGUCCUACAGUCAGAAGACCCUCUGGACGUCUCCCCACAAUCCUAGGUCACAGCUGGGUAAAGGACAGUCAGAACACCCCUCUGGACGUCUCCCCACAGUCCUACAGUCAGAACACCCCUCUGGACGUCUCCCCACAGUCCUACAAUCAGAAGACCCCCUAGACAUCUCCCCACAGUCCUAGGUUCAAGCUGGGGCUCACCUUGGCCACCUCCCCUCCCCCCAGCGGCACCUGGACCACUUGUCCUGUGAAAUUCUCUCUGGCUGGAACCUCCCUGCACACACCGAGCUUGUCCCCAGCCCCUCAUCCCCAAGCCUUCUUGUCUCUCUGCCUAGGAUGUGCCCCCCUCUCUCCCCACCCCCCGACCCCUGACCCCUUCCUUCUCGUGCCUGAAGACUCAGCUCAAGGAACUGCUUCCCCAGCAGGCAAAGGCAGGAGAACCUUCUGGCACGGCACACACAGAAGCCCUCCCUCAGUGCACCAUGCACACGCAGCUGUGCCAUGAGGCACCGCGCUCAUUCUCUCCCGGAGCUGGCCUUUCAGCACCGGUGCAGACCCAGCUCUCACCGGGCACACUCACUGGGCAGACAGCGCUGAAGGCCCAAGUCCUGGGUUGUCGAUGCUAAUCAGUGAACAUCAGCAACACGACCCCCGAGGACGCUGGGUACAGUGCGGCUGUCACUUCCUUCUCUACCUUCCGAGAGCCAAUCUAGUAUUUGACACAAGCAGCAUGGCCGCUGAGUCUGUCGAGUGAGUGUGAAAUGGGCCUAAGGAACCUGCCAGCUCUGGUCUUUACUCCCAUCACCAAGAGCCAGGAUGGCCAGGAGAGAGAGUCUGACGGGGACACAGCUGUAACUGGCCCCGGGGCUGGGCCCUCAGGGUGCACGGGUCCCCGGCAGCGGGCACAGGACUGGGCAAAUCUCAGUGAGCAGCGUGCCACGGAGGACCACCUGUGGUCGGAUGGAGAACCAGCAAAGGUUUGAAAAUGGGGCACGUGAGAAACGACCUUUCCUCACAUUAAACUUCACUUAAUGGAAAUAAAUGCUGUGCGGUUGCCGUGGCCCUGAGGAUAAAAAGCCUCUGGUAUCACCUCCUGCAGCCUCGGUCCCCACCCCGCCUUGGUAAACAGAGUUGGAGGCGCACGAUUGGCUCCUGUGUGAAAGCAGCUUGGCUCCCGGUCAAGUCCGAGAUUCUUCGUUCUUAGUGCUUAAAAGAAUGGGAAGCACACAACCCAAAUCCACAACUACAAAGACAGCUCUCUAUGAAAACCCAGCUGUCAAGCGACAUCCAUUAGUUGUAUCCAAGGGAUCCCGCUCGGAGUUUGUGCUUGUUCCUCUUUUCUUCAUCAGUUUAAGGGCUUUCUGGCAGGUGAAAAACCCCACUCUGUUCCAAGCCAGGUGUAAGUCAGAACCAGCAUGACUGACUGAAUUCCAUUUUUCUGCUUCUUUUUGAAUGAAUAAUCACCAGCCUGCCUGGAAACUUCAUUCGCCUUUCUCUCGCCAAGCAGUAGACCGUAAAGUUCACUUUUGAACUGGCCAUAAACUCGCCAACUUUCGCUCCUACAGAUUCCUCAGGUGACUAUGACAGAAAGUAUAUUUCGCCCCAGCCUUUACUUUUCCAUUUUCUUUCCCCAAAUAUGUGCUACUUGCUAUCCCCCCGGGGUAUGGAGACUCUCUGAAACAGACGGAAUUUCCAAGCUGGGGUAACUUGUCCAGGCCUUCCAAUCGCUCAGCAACUACCACACAGCUUUAAAAAACAAAUCUCACGAGUGUUUCAAACCUGACAACUAAUCUAUUAUACAACUGAAAUUAUUCUUUGCAGAAAUGUUAAGUGUCACACCACAGAGCCUAAGAUUUUCAGCUCACUCCAUUAUUCCCAGAUAAAUCUCAGUAAAUGAAUCUAUAGAUAUAUAGAUAUACUCCCUGAUGCUGGGAAACACUGAGGGCGAGAGGAGAAGAGGGUGGCAAAGGAUGAGAUGGUUAGACAGCAUCACCGACUCAUUGGUCACUAACCUGAGCAAACUCCAGGAGAUCGUGGAGGACAGGGAAGCCCGGCAUGCUAUAGUCCAUGGGAUCACAAAUAGUGCGAAAUGACUUGGCGACUGGACAACAACAACAAAUAUAUACAUAAAUAUACACACACAUAUAUAGCCAACACGUCAAAUUUCCUCCCUGAUAUACAAAUUUUUUAAAAAUCAGAUUUUGCUCAGCAAGUUUGGAAGAAAGAGAACACUACCUUCAAACACGUAACAACAGAAUAGCGAGUCUAGAACUGAAGCUGGAGACACUUCAGUGAGUAUGAAGCCACUCAAGCUUUUCUUAGAAAAAGCAGUAAAGAACAUUCCUUCCCGCAACAUCACCUCUUUGAACAGUGACACUGAUAUAACAAAAGCCAGUGAAUGAUAAAACCAAGGUGGGCAGGAAAAUGUGGGAUGGGGUACUCGAUCUGACGCAUCUCCAUUCCAACGGGUACAUCCAGCCCCCACUAACCGUGGGGUUCUCUUAGUAUAGUAGAGAGAUACUGCUUUCUCUUUUAAGUUUACACGCAUUUGGGAGGUUUUGUUUUUAAUCAGAGCAUAGCUGAUUUCUGGUGUCUCGGGAACAGCAAAGUGAUUCAGUUACACAUAUACAUACACGUUAUGUCCAGGUUCUCUUCUGCUGUUGAACGCAGCGCCUUGUGCUGUACAGUCGGUCGUUGUUGCUUAUCUAUUUUAGAAUACAGUAAUGUGACUCUGGUUUCAGUUUUUUAAACAGUUGCUAAGUUGUUAGGACAUAAAUAGCUAAUACGUUGUGCGGACCCAAUUCCUCAUACAGAGUGGGAAGGAUGUGCUUUUGACUUAGGGAUUGCUGUGAAAAAUCGCUGAGACGUGAGGCCAAGGACAGAGGAGGCACAGAAGUCUCUGAGCUCUGUUAUCAACGCCCUGGUUUGGCACUUGGCCCGGGCAGGGGGCCGGGAGGGCCCCCAGGAUGCCUUCUUGUUUUCCCUACUCUCGGCGCCUCACCCGCUUCUACGGGGCCUGGACUUAUCCAUUCACGGAAGAGGCCUGCUCAGGAAACAGAUGUGCAGGCUGCAGAGGAAACCCACAAUCACCGCCCACGGGAACCAGCCCAGGCCUCCAUUCAUAAAAACGCAGCAAAUCCAGGGCCCCGAGACAGGAGGGGAAAGACCAGCGCGGAAGAUAAGGAUAAUGACGAACAAAUAAAGCAGCUCACCAGAGAGGAAACAGAAAUAACAAUAAUAAUAAUAAUAAUAAACCCAAUUUGAUCGUGAAAGAUUAGAGAGGAAACUGCACCCAUAAAAUUAGAAUUGGCCGCGAUUAGAAGAAGGAGGGGGAAGGGGAAGGAGAAGAAGGAAACAGCGUCCACAGAAGAGAAAGAGACGCUUGGAAAUAAAAUCAGGGUCACAGGAUCGACAAAAUAAAAAUGGAUGGAAACACGGAGCUGGUUAUCUGGACAAUCCUCCUCCACCGUGUGGGCCAGACAGUCCACAGACGGAGUCAAAGCAAUUCCUCGGAUCCAGGAGCUAAACAGACAGAUGAGCAACUGAAAACUUCACAGUCUUGCAAGAUUUGUCCAGCAGGCUCAGACUGUCUAGUAGAGGUUCAGAGACAGAGAUGUUAGAAAGAAAGAAAGAGUAAGAGAAAUGAUUGAAGCAUCGUUUUCAGGGCUGAAGUUGCUCAGCUCACGGCCCACCAAGGACCCAACAGGAAGAAGAAAUACAUCCACAUCCUGAUGACAUGUGAGAACAUCAAACAUGAGAGGAAAAUUCUGAAAGUUCACAGGACAGAGAACAGAAGAGGGGAAAGUGUCGGGGACGAACCACCGGCAGUUGCAGGAAGCUGAGAACACUCACAAGGAGUUUAAAGGAACGCAGGAGGCCUUGGCCUCGGUGGACGCUCCUUCGAGUGGUCAGCGUGAGUGACGUGGGUUACAUUGCCGUUGGGACAAGUUCAGUCACACACACCUGGUUUUGGAGAGGAUAGAAGUUGCAUAAUUAUAAUAUUAUGUGCUGCCAGGGAGGGACAAGUACCACAGGAAAGGAACAAGCUGUAGAAGUGGGCACUCGCACCCUAUUGAAACUAAACACACACAUGUGCAUAUGAACACACACGUGUACGAAGACAGAGAUGGUGGUGAUGAGAAGGAGGAGGAAGAUGGAUAGACAGAUAGACAAAUAGAUGUAAACAUUCUAAAGGACAUAGUAGGUGAAAUAAAUCAGAGGAAGACAAACAUCACACGAUAUCGCUUAUAUGUGGAAUCCAAAAAAAAAAAAAUGAUAAAAAUGAACUUAUUUAAAAAACAGACUCCCAGACUUAGAAAACAAACGUACGGUUGCCAAGACAGACAGAUGAGGGGAGGGAUAAAAUGGCCGUUUGGGACUGACAUAUACACACGACUACAUAUGUAAAAUCGGGAACCCACAAAGACCUACCAUGUGGCACAGGGAACUCUGCUCAGCACUCCGUAGUAGCCUAAACGGGAGACGAUUUGAAGGAGAAUAGAUACAUAUGUAUUUGCACAGCGGAAUCAAUUUGCUGUGCCCCUGAAACGAGAGCAACAAUGCAAAUCAACUCUGCUCCAAUGUAAAAUAAAAGCAUGAAUAAAUGAAAAUUUAAAAAUAAAUAAAUAAAAGGACACAGAGCAGACAGGUGGGAAGAGGGAGAAUGUUAAUCACGCAUCUGUGUUCUACUCUUUGCGACCCCUGGACUGUAGGCCGCCAGGUUCCUCUGUCCAUGGAUUCUCCAGACAAGAACACUGGAGUGGGUUGCCAAGCCCUCCUCCAGGGGAUCUUCCCACCGCAGGGAUGGAACCUGCGUCUCUUGUGUCUCCUGCAUUGGCAGGCGGGCUCUUUACCACUGGUGCCACCUGGGAAGGCUCACUACCUACACCACUGUUCUCCUUGCCCUCCAGAACUUCCCCCUCAGCAGUGGGGCCAGCUGUCCUUGGGUGUGAAAAGCAGUGGGAAAAAAAUGUCUCCAAACACGGUGGAACAUUCUAGAUCAUCUUGGGAGAAGAGAGCAGGAGGGAGAAUCCCCAUGUCACCCUCUCCUGGCCUUCUGUCCCGGGGAUGCCCCUCAAAUAGGGUGGCCUGUGGGGUGGACAGACGCCAUGCAGGGAACCACAGCUGGAAGCCUCAGGAUGGCCUGGUUCUGCAUCCAUGGAGAAACCAUGGGUCAGGGAGGAAACUGGACUGAUUCUCAGCUGCCCUGGGUUAGAGGCACAGGCCAAGGUGAGCGACAUAAUCCCCCCUCGUGCGGGUGCCUUUCUGACGCUCAGAUGAGUUAGCACACAAAAGCCUCUCGCAGACACGACCUCACACCUGUAGCGGGCAGGGCCCGGAUGCUCCAAGGGCCACACAGCCAACCCUCAUGUUCUGAGCAGAGACCUGAGUCAGUUCUCUGGUGGCCGGCCCCCUCCAAAACCUUCCCUGGGCUUGUCGACCAGGAUCUCACUAUAGGAAAUGUAUCAGUUCAGUUGCUCAGUCGUGUCCAACUCUUUGCGACCCCAUGGACAGCAGCACACCAGGCCUCCCUGUCCAUCACCAACUCCCAGAGUUUACCCAAACUCAUCCCAAUGUGAGUCAAAGACUCUUUUCUGAAAUGUAAUCAAAAACCAUCUGCAGAAGAAACCAGAAUAAGAAGUAAGUACAAUUCAAGUCUUAUUGUUGCCUCUGUCUCUCAAAAGAAAAACAAAAAAAAGCAGAUAUUUUUGGCAUAUAAAUUUUAUUUCAAAACAUCUGAUCCUGAGACAAAAAAAAUAAGUCAUUUUUUUUAAUGCAUCAGGACAGUCAUCAACAGGGUAUAAGCUUUCUACAAGAUCUGCCCCGCCCCCCCACCAUGGAUGGUUCUUUAAUCCCCUGUCCUUGAAAAAGGAUGAACGCAAAAUCAAGUCCUGAAUAUUGAAUAUUAUUGAAUUGAAUAUAACCUUGAAUAUUAUUAUAUAAACAAAAUGAGUCUCGAGCAUUAGAAAACACUUAAGAAUUAAGAAUGUGUUUUUAAUGCCCAUGAAAAAAAAUAUGACAAAGCGUGGGUGUAAGGGGGACUGUUUAAAGCUGAGAUGAUGCUCUCGCCCAGGCCUCCCCGAGCCCGCUGCUGUGAGUCUUUGGGUCCCUGGGGAGGACACUUUGUUUUCUUCCACAUUCUGACAUCAUCUGAUGCAACCUGAUGCAAAACGACCCACUUCUCGUCAAAGGAGAAACUGGAAGAGAGGCGGGGGUAACUCUGUCCCAGGAGAGUCUCCAGGAGCAGAUGAGGGGAGGCCAGAGGGCGAGGGUGGGGCCGACCGCCUCCCAUAGCUCAGGGAAGCGGUGGUUCCUCUGAAAAGCAGGAUCCAUCUUUAAAGAGUGGGAAUCCUUGCAGGUGGGGGUCAUAAUGCAAACCUUCGGAUAAAAAGCCAAGGCUUAUUUCAGAAAGUCUGAGUGACUGCUCCACAGGUCAUGGGAAGAGGGCUUGGAGCAGAGCAUAGGUAGAAAUAAGAUCCCCUAAGAAGGGAGAGACGGCUUCCCUGGUGGGCUCAGACUGUAAAGAAUCUGCCUGCAAUGCUGGAGACCCAAGUUCGAUCCCUGGGUCAGGAAGAUGCCCCAGAGAAGGGAAUGGCAGCCCACUCCAGUAUUCUUGUCUGGAGAAUCCCAUGGACAGAGGAGCCUGGCAGGCUACAGUCCAUGGGAUCGCAGAGGGUCACAACUGAGAGAUAACUCACACACACACAAGAAGGGAAGAGAGCAGGAGUGACCCUAGUGAUGCUAGGUCCUCGGGGCCCCUUUGUAGUGGUCCUGGGGGCCGUGGGGGGCGGAUGGGGAGCUUCUUCUAGGGCUCCCACUUCCCAAGGAGGAGGCCAGCCUGGGGAAUGUCACAGCAGGUGAGCGCAGGCCAGGCCAGCAGGGCACACGUGCGAUGAAGGAAAGCUCCCUGAAAUGUGUCACUGGGGCCAGGGCCCUCGGGAUGGCUCCGUGAGAACAGCGUGUGAGCCGCCUGCGGCCUAUGGGACCCGGGUCCAGAGGCCUGCUCCCCUGGCCUUACACAGACAUGUAGCGUCCAGCACGCGGCUUCUCACACUGGCAAGUAGUACGUGUGAGCACAGGAUUGAGACGUCGCUGUGAAAACGGUUUAUCUUAUCUACGGAUAAAUGAAUGAACUGAAUAAAGAACAAAAUACAGACCGGUAAGAUACUGCGUGAAGUUACCAUCUUGUUAUCAAAUUCAUUUGUAUAACAAUAGAAGCAAGUGCAUGCCUGGACUGACGUAAGAACUUUCAGGGUUUUGAAGCACUUCGUUAUCCACUCUGUCGCCCACAGAGAGGCGAGGAGGCUGAGGCUCCAGCGGUCGGGCAAUCCCGAGGCCAGAGGGAUGAAGGGCAAGCGGGACUCAACCCCAAGGAGUCGGGGACCAGUCACCACCCUCCACCAGUGUGUGAGCACCACGCUGCCAAGUCACGAUUUUAAGAACCCCUGUCUUUCCCUGGUUGUCAGAUUUGCUUCAUCUUGUUCAGAUUAUGUACAUUCCAGACAUCUUUCGGGUUACGUGGUUAACACGUUGGCCAACGAGAACCAGACUGUGGCUUGUUUAUUGCUCUCUACACAGCUCCUCAAAGAUGGGUGUUAACCUAAUUUCCUCAUCGCUGACUGUGAGAGAGUACUUAAGCUUGGAAGCUGUCUAAGUCACUGUUUAUUUUAAGGCUCAAAUAAAACAGGAUCCAUGAAAUUGCUUCAGAUGCUUUUCAGGGGCUCUGAACUCACAGAAUACCAUCAUUGGUGGUUUUUAAGAUUUUAUUUUAGUUGAAGCAUAAUUAGAGCAGAAAAUACUUUUUAAAAAAAUAUUGAGAAAUUUUUCCACAG
ensembl:lncRNA